GGUUGUCGUCAGCUCGUGUCGUGAGAUGUUGGGUUAAGUCCCGCAACGAGCGCAACCCCUAUUGUUAGUUGCCAUCAUUCAGUUGGGCACUCUAGCGAGACUGCCGGUAAUAAACCGGAGGAAGGUGGGGAUGACGUCAAAUCAUCAUGCCCCUUAUGACCUGGGCUACACACGUGCUACAAUGGCUGGUACAACGAGUCGCAAGUCGGUGACGGCAAGCUAAUCUCUUAAAGCCAGUCUCAGUUCGGAUUGUAGGCUGCAACUCGCCUACAUGAAGUCGGAAUCGCUAGUAAUCGCGGAUCAGCACGCCGCGGUGAAUACGUUCCCGGGCCUUGUACACACCGCCCGUCACACCACGAGAGUUUGUAACACCCGAAGUCGGUGAGGUAACCAUUUGGAGCCAGCCGCCUAAGGUGGGAUAGAUGAUUGGGGUGAAGUCGUAACAAGGUAGCCGUAUCGGAAGGUGCGGCUGGAUCACCUCCUUUCUAAGGAA
rnacentral:rRNA from 1 species